CACAUACUCCCUCCGUCCGGAAAUACUUGUCAUCAAAAUGAAUAAAAGGGGAUGUAUCUAGAUGUAUUUUAGUUCUAGAUACAUCCCUUUUUGUCCAUUUUGAUGACAAGUAUUUCCGGACGGAGGGAGUAUAUA
rnacentral:pre_miRNA from 1 species